rnacentral:misc_RNA from 1 species
UGUGGUGUGCACAAUACACCAGCCGAGCAUUGACAUAUUUGAUGCUUUUGAUGAGUUAAUUUUAUUGCAAAGGGGAGGUGAAGAAAUUUAUGCAGGUCCAAUAGGCCACCAUUCUUGCCAUCUGAUCAAGUAUUUUGAGGACAUUGAGGGAGUUCCUAAGAUCAAGGGUGGUUGCAAUCCUGCAACAUGGAUGCUGGAGAUUACUUCAGCAGCACAGGAAGCUGCUCUUGGGAUUAACUUUGCUGAUAUUUACAAGAACUCAGAACUAUACAGGAAAAACAAAGCUUUGACCAAGGAAAUAAGUACACCUCAAACAGGUUCAAAAGAUCUGUACUUCCCAACUCAAUACUCACAGCCUUUCUUAACCCAGUGUGUGGCUUGUCUAUGGAAGCAGCAUUGGUCAUAUUGGCGAAACCCAUCAUAUACUGCAGUGAAACUCUUGUUCACAACAGUAAUAGCUUUGAUGUUUGGAACUAUAUUCUGGGAUCUGGGAUGCAAAAGGUACAGGGAAAUGCAACAUACUGUUUGUAUUAAGGCUAAAUAUUUUUCGUAUUUCACUCUCUAACUCGUGUGAAUUUGUAGAAGAAGGCAACAAGAUAUCUUUAAUGCAAUAGGUUCUAUGUAUGUGGCUCUUCUCUUCAUAGGAGUACAGAAUACUGUAUCUGUGCAGCCAGUUGUGGCUAUAGAGAGAACAGUCUUUUACAGAGAAAGGGCAGCUGGAAUGUACUCUGCAUUGCCAUAUGCCUUUGGACAGGUUAUGAUUGAGCUGCCAUACGUUUUUAUCCAAACUAUCAUAUAUGGGGCCACAGUUUAUGCCAUGAUUGGAUUUUAUUGGACAACAAGCAAGUUCUUUUGGUAUAUCUUCUUCAUGUACUUCACCUUCUUAUACUUCAGUUUCUAUGGGAUGAUGACCACAGCCAUUACACCCAACCACCAAAUUGCUGCUGUAGUUGCAUCUGCUUUCUAUGCAAUAUGGAACCUUUUCUCAGGAUUUAUUAUUCCGUUACCGGUAACAUCCUGUUAUCUUAUUAUUUUCUUCUAUCUAUUAUAAAAAAGAGCUCUAAUUAAAGAGCAUAAACAUGUUCAUGACAGAGGAUUCCUGUCUGGUGGAAAUGGUACUAUUGGUCUUGCCCGGUAGCUUGGACCUUAUAUGGAUUGGUUUCUUCACAAUAUGGAGACAUAAAGGACACGUUAGACACUGGUGAAAUGGUGGAUCAUUUUUUAAGGAGACAUUUCGGGUUUAGACAUGACUUUGUUGGAAUCGCUGCAGUCGUCGUUGUUGGAAUCUCUGUGCUCUUUGGAUGCAUCUUUGCCUUAUCUAUCAAAUUAUUCAAUUUCCAAAAAAGAUGAGGCCUUUUGUGUAUGUAAAUGUAAAGGAAAUUUUCCACUACCUCAACUUGCAAUGUUAAUUUUGUUCAAGUUGAAAUGUGGUGGAUGUUGAUUUUCCACUGCCUCACUUUAUUAGUGACUAUUUAGUUACUGGAAUAGGAUUUGAUUUAUAUGGCCAACUUAAAAGACCCUUAUGAUAUGUAAGAAGGAACACUUGUUGAAUAUCAAUAACAGAAUUCUAUUAAAAUAAAAACAUAA